ensembl:ncRNA D2023.14 ncRNA
AUUGAUGUCUGGUGUAGGUAUCUGACCUAGUCGAGUCUCGUACCCGCACCUUCACUCGCCCUACUUGCAAAAUUCAUUUUUCAAAGGCGUUUAUCGGGCGAGGUGGGAGGUGGGAAGGCUUCAGAAUCUUUGGUGUAAUGCAUACAAAAA